AUGUGGUUCUAUCGUACAACUUGCUCAAAGGCUGCUACCUCCCGAGACAAGUGUACAACUGGCUGCACUCACCACAAUAGCAAUCAUAACUUCAUGGUUACAAGGCAUGUGUGGUUUAUUACCUCAACAAAUCAGCACACAGAGGCAUGCCACUUCAAUGUGACGAGCAAAUCAAUGUGA
rnacentral:rRNA from 1 species